UCCAGAGGAAAAGAAGGAAAAGGUCCCCGCCGGAACCGGAAAUACCCUCCCGUUCGAGCAAAAAUGGCGGCCCCCGUUAUUCACUCCUGCCUAAGAUGGCGGCGCCUCGUAAGUCAAAAGGCGAGAUGAAAUGGCAAAACUUUAUGGUCGCCUCCGCCAUGCAACAUAAUUUGGCAGUGCCAUGCCAAGUCAUUCUGAAACCAACUCCACCAGGUGUUUAAAAAGGCCCCUCAAACAUCCACUGAGGCGUGAUGUAUAAGAAGACGAAGAGGGGACGGGCACAGACAGCAUGUUCCCAUAAGGAACGUCCGGCGCCUUCCCUGCCCCCACGUGGCACAGCGCGAGCCCUGCCUUUUCCGCUUGGUGGUCUGGAGGGCCAGGCUGAGGGAGCUCAAUUUCGAGGUGAGAACUGCCAGUAACGAGGGCAACUCCUCCCUGGAGAGGUUUUUGCUUUGAGGGAAUUGGCUGAGGCACUCCCUGUCCGGAAGGACCUAGUCCAGGCAGAAGUAAACACAGGAACAGGUUACGGAGCGGAAAACCGGGGAGGAACGAACAAUCGGCCCGUGGGCUGCAUGUCCGUCCCCGGCUCCCACCUGGGCAGGAGCGCGGAGAGCCGACGCAGAGACAGAGACCCCGAGAGCAAAGGCCUCCGGGUUCUGACUUACGGGUCUCGAGUGAAAGCGGGCUCUGAGCCUCACCGCCUCUCAGGCAGGUCUGCGGGUCUGGGGAGUCCAGACGUGCCCCUAAGGAGGUUCCACCUGCCUGGGACACCGUGGAUCAGGGUUCCCAGGUUGCCUACCGGCCUCCUGUUUAGCCGCAUGGUACGUGAAUAUGUAGUGCCUCCUUGAUAACUGAGAGACGAUGCUGGCAGGCAGCGCUCCUGUCACAUAUUUUUUGAAGGGGGAGAGGUACCAGGGUGGUACCAUUCGCUAUCAUCUAAGCAAAAUAAGGGGGGGGGGAAUUAUACAUAAUAAGUAUUUAUUUUCUGUUUGUAACAUGUAUUAAUUUUAGUUUCAUAUCUGUGAAAUGAGGUUGGAAAUAAUAGUACCCACCCAAAAUGGUGUUGAAAAGAGUAAAUGAGUUAUGGUAGGUAAAGGGCCCAGAACAAUGCUUGGCAGAAUAAAUGCAGGCAAACUUAGCACCUCUUGGGUACCAGGCCCUGUUUUAGGUCUUGAGGGAUACAGCUGUGAGCAAGAGGGGGGUGAGGACCAGGUUUUUUUGGAGUUUACAUUUGAUGGAGUGAGGGGGAAGGAAAUUGGAGCAAAGAGACGAAGAAGGAGACAGCCCUGUGGAUACACGGGAGGAUAAGGUUCUGGGGGCAGGGAUGCUCAGUGCAAAACAUCCUGGAGGUGUUGGAAGUGCUGAAAACCGAACAGUGAGAUAGGCGUGAGGGGCAGCUGACAGAGGGCCCGCAGUCUGGGGGAAAGAACAUGGCUCCUCAGGGUGGUUGCUGUUCUGAGUAGGCUUCAAGGGCUCCAGUUGCGAAGGUCAUUUAAAUGCCUCCGUAGCACCCCCAAUUAGCUGUCUUUUUCUUCUAACACUAAACUCGAAGUCGACCCCAACCCUGACCUGUUUUGGUAAUGGGAGACCCUUACUUUCACCCACACCAGUAUCCAGUUCACUGUUCAUAGCUCGGGUCGUGCCAGUGCCCUGGGCGGUUGGGACAAAUAGAGAGGUGAGAGAUUUCCACGCUGUGGAAAUGCACAGAGCAAACACUCCCCUGUGUUGGCCUGUACAUGCAGAGGAUUUCCUCUCAGUUCAAGAAUACGCGUUCCUUCAUCUCCUGCCUUCACCCAAGAGAUCCUUGGUUAGUCAUAUUAUAUUUACUCCUCUCGAGAAAUCUCAUUUGGCUCUCUGUAUUCUUGAAUUUUGCUAAGGAGCCCCUGUGGAAUCAACAUCUCUGAAAGAGGGCCAGGAGGACAGGUUUAAAACAAGCCUCCCAGGUCUCUCACGCAUGCUCAAGGACUCGACCUUUCGUCACCACCAGGCCCCUUUCCAGAGGGGGCCGUUCCUCGGCUAGCCUCGUCCUCCCCAGGCUCACCUCUGCGCAGCCCUUUCCCAGAGUCCUCUGGCCACAGAGACCAAGAUUUCUGUAGGUGUCUUUGGCCUCCCGCAAUUCCAUGGGCGUCUCCCUGUACCGGCCCCUGGCAGUGCCCCCUCCUCUGGGGCCAAGGGGGGGAAUCUCGGGUUUUCCCCUGGAACCCACCAAUACCCAUCUGGCAAUGUCAGCAGAGGAGAGGGAGAAAUGGAAUAUAGUGGAGUUCCCAGAUGACCAGACUGUAGGAUUUGGGCUUUUCCACCUUGGAGUUUUUCUCCAAUCAUCACCACCUGGUCUCUCCUCUCUUGGAGAAGAUUCUGGCAAGCCACAAAACCACUGAGGGGUAUUCAUGAAUUGAGGGAGGCCUGACCCUGACUCUGGGGACACUUUGGGUAUAGCUAGGGGCAGGGAUGGCAUGUAGCAGCAGCCUUUCCCUCUCAGCCCAAGCUGGAGUUGAGCCCCAUACAUGCCUGCUUCCGUUUGGGGCCCCAAGGCUCCCUGCUAGGCAUGUGGACCCACCUGGACUCCUCAAGCCUGGCCCUUUCCAGGGGGCUGACUUCUCUUGGCUGCUAGACGCAUCCUAAGAAUAAGCCUGUGCUUUCCACAGUAGUCUGCUGCCUGCCCAAGCAGGCCUGGGUCCGGCCUUUGGGCCUUUUCAUCCUGGGUCUUUGAUCUUUCCCUCUAGGAGGCAGAAAUCUGUUGGAGGGCUCCACCUGACCUUGGGUGAAAUUGGGGAAAGUUACUCUGCAGAGCCUUCUUUCAGCUCCCCAGGCCACCCCUCUCGUAUGUUCCCCACCCACUGGUCCCAUGCCCUGGGCUGCCUGUCCUCUCCUCUGUCCCCACUGGCAGCCUGUCCUCUGGGCUGCCUGUCCUCUCCCAUGUCCCCACUGGCAGCACUUCCAUUCCCACACAAGGUAAACAUCCCAAAAGAGAAUUUGGAGAUUCUUUUCUAAGGAAGUCUGUCUCACCAUUCCUUUUCUGCUGGGAAUCCCUAAGAUCAGCACAGCGGGGAGAAGCCCCUCUGGUUUCCCUGCUAGAGGCCCAUGACCUCUUCUAGGAACAGAGGCCUCUGUUCCCUCCUGCCAGCAUUCAGGAGGUGAGACAGGUCUUCCCUUGAAUGAAGUGAUGAGUACUGUUGUGGGUGAUAGGUGAGGGGCUGAGGGAAAAGGUUGCGGCCAAGACUACAGGGCCUCUGUCAGCUAAAGCAAGUGUCUUCCCUUCAUUUUGCUGUUCCUCUGUAGAUUCAGUAUGGUUGGCACCAUACUCCUUUUAUGGCUACGCUGGCUCUCCCCAUUCCUCCAUCAGUUCUCUCCCACACAGGAGGCCCACUAUAUCCCACCCCCACUUUCCUUAGUUAACUAAGCUUCCUCAGGUCUCAAUUCAGGUUGUACCUCAGAGAAACCCUCUGUGACUCUCAAGUCUGGGUUAGGCUCCUUGUUUCAUGCCCUGAUUGUGUGGUGUGUGGGGCCUCCACAAACUUAACUCAAUCUGCCCUUAUUUGAAUCUGUCAGGGCUUUACUCAGUGCCCUGAGGUCAGGGACUGGUCUGUUUUGUCUCAUAUGCUGUUGCUGGUACAGGGUUUGGUUGUGGAAGAUUCUAACCUUGGUCACCAGCCUCAUAGGCUGAAUAGUUAAAACCAAGUAUUUAAAGGGUGUUUCAGGUGGAGGGAUCACCAUGGGGAAGAGGUAUUAGAGUGGUUUGCAUGCAGAAGUUUGGGGGAUCGUUUCAAAUGGGAAGGUAGGAGAGUGAAACCCAAGGUGUUCAGGGAGCCCCUACUGGGAAGGAGUUGUCUGCUGAAGAAUUUUGUCCUGAAGCCUAGGACUGCCUCAUCAGUAUUAUCUAAUCCCUCUCCUGCCUAGACUUGAUUUUGCUGACAGUCAUUCGUUGUCAGUAGAAGGUAGGUUGGAGGAGUAAGACAAGAAAUAAGAGGAAUUCAGAAGCUGGACAGGAGGGUCUAUAGGAUGGUCAUGAGAGCCCUACAAAAGGAGGGACUGAGGACUUCCCAAUGGCCUUGAGUGAGGGAUUCAGCAUCUCCUCUAAUCUAUUUCUAUCCUUCCUACCAUACCUCUUUCACUCCAGUAUCUAGAAUUGGGCUCUGAUUAUAGAAACUAUUUCCUGAUCUAGGCCUAGAGAAUUAAGCUCAAAAAGGUUGGAAGGAAACAUAGAAAGUUCUGUUGUUCUUGUAGGUCCUGUUCCAUUAUCCUGGUGAGGUGGGAUAUGAUAUUAAGUCAAUGCCAGAAACAGAUGUUACAAAGAAAUCACAUAUCGUUUAUGUUUCUUAGUAAAUAUUUAGUGUCCAUCUUAGGCAGGAAUCUGCAGUCAGUCAGAUUUUCUAACAGUCCCCUGGAAAACUGCUAAGGAACUCUGUUGGGUUUUCCCUGGGAGAUGGACUGUAGGAUUCCCCCUGGCCUUAAGUGCUCCAGCAGAUAUGCAGUCGAAGAUUGUGGAGGUGGGCAUGAUCCAGGCAGGUAUGGACCGUAGUCCAGGUAGAAUUAUAAGAUAUGCUAGGAGAAUGCAAGCCUCUGGCUCGUUAAAGGAUUUAAAACAGCAUUAGGUGGUAGGGAGAAACAAGAGGUGACACAAGGUGCCUUUUUUCAACUUUUUACCUGGAAGAGAAUUUGAUAUAUGUUCUAUUGAUAGAACAUAUUCUAAUAUGUUGAAAUGGAACUAUGAGGUUGGCCAGCUUACCACAAGAUAAGAGGGCUGAAGAGGAAAUAAUCCUUCCUGCUCAUACUCAGGUUAAAUAGCCAGAGCUUGUUGAGAAAUUCCGUCCUUUGGUAGAGGAGAGGAUUCUAUGUACUUAGGAAAUGGCAGAUUAAAAGGGGGUGUGACCUCUAGGGAUCCUCUUCCAGGUGACCUUGGUCCUUCAUCUUUGUGGGGCCCUGCUGGGUACCAAGUGGAAUUGUCAAUCAGAAGUCUCUGACCAACUCUGCAUCUGAGUCCUUUAGGAUGAGGUAAAAGAUUAUGAAGGCCUAAGCAUGAACUUCAGUAGAUAUGGAAGAAUAAGCCCCUCCCUGUUUGUUAAGGCUAUUUCUAGUUCAAAUCUAUUUAAGGCCAUUUUCUUCCUCCUUUGGGACGGGUAGAGGUGGGAGAAGAGUAGUAACUUAGAGAGCCAAGAGAGCCAUUUUCUUCCUUUGCUCGUCUACUGUCACAUCUCUUCCUACAACUCAUAUGCUUAGAUGAGCUGUUUCCCCAUACCCAGGGUUCUCAUUCUCUACUUCUGAGGACUCUGGUUUGUGGGCAAAGACUGUAUCAUUAAAAGUUAAGUUUGUCACCACUUUUAGCUCUCACAGUCUCCUCCUUUUCAGUCCUGUUAUUCCUACAACCUCUCACUUUCUCUUUUCUCAUUAUCACUGCUAGCAAACUGCUUUCCUUUCUAGGACUCCAUGAUCUCUCUACCACCACCCUCUGUCAGGAUUUAGGUGUGAGAGGAGAAAGGGAAGAACCCACUAACCUACUUUAAUGCUAGGUUUUCCCCCAUAUCCCAUUGUCAAAAAGUCAGGAACCAAGUAACUAAUUAUUUAUACUUAUAUUCCUCCUAUUUUGAGGCCCCAGCCUGGCUCUUUUUCUGGGAAGAGGGUAAUGCAGCUUGUUUUUUAGCUUUUUCCUAUUAGAAUUCUCCCCUAUCAUAUUUCCCACAUGUGAUCCAUAUGAAUCACAAGUAGAGCUAGUUCAAGACUGUUUUAGUCAUAUUUUAAAAAAAAGUACAAGAAGGCCUUCUUUUAAAUAUUUUCUUCUAUGCCUAAAAAUACCACCUUCGAGCUUACCUCUCUCUCUCUCUUUUUUUAAAGAUUUUAUUUAUUUAUUCAUGAGAGACAGAGAAAGAGGAGAGAGAGAGAGGCAGAGACACAGGCAGAGGGAGAAGCAGGCCCCAUGCAGGGAGCCCGACAUGGGACUGGAUCCCGGAACUCCAGGAUCACGCCCUGGACUGCAGGCAGGCACUAAACCGCAGAGCCACCCAGGGAUCCCAGAGCCUACCUCUCUUGAUUGGGAAAAGAGUUGUCUCAUUUCUUUUUCAUUUUCCCCUUCAGACUUGGCUCUACUCCUGAGAAUCCUAGAAAGGAUCAGAAUUCAACCUGCCUUGUUUCUAUGGAACUGUACAAUUAAAUGUGAUUUGACAGCCACCAGUCAUAUAUGGCGAUUUCAAAUUAAUUAAAAUUAAAUACAAUGAAAAAUUCAGUUCCAUAUUGCAUUAGGCAUAUUUCAAGAGCUCAAGCCAUAUGUAGCUAGUGGUACCUACUAUAUCAAACAGCAGAUUUAGAACACUUCCGUUGUUGCAAAGUCCUUUUAGACCUGGUAUGGCAGGCUGUCUUGUGUCCCCCUUUUUGUUAUCCUAUUUUAUCAGUCAAUAAAUGUUUGUAAUAACUUCACCGUUGCAGGGUAACUUUCAGAGUGGGUCAGGGAUUGGGGAUGGGAAAUAGCAUAGAAUCUGUAGGUCCUGUAAAGGUUUCUGGAGGCAUGGCAUAGAGGCCAGUGGCAGAGGAGACUUCGGUUUCAAGGAAGUGCUUUAGGGGCUGAUGUUAUAUGUAUUAACCCAGGACUACCCCACUCUAACAGGAGCAGACAGGCUCUGGUUUUAUAAGUUUUGCAUAAUGCUUAAAAACCAAAGCAAAAAAAAUAACUGCUCUAUGAUCCUGCUGGAACUGAUGUUUGCUGAUUUCCUUUUCUUACUCAUCAUUCAUUUCUAGAUCUUCAUUUCAUAUACUGCUUUAUCUGUCAUAGUCCUUUUCCCCCAAAUGGCAGUGACAGGCAGCUCUGGUUUAAAAAAAGGUUUGCUGACUCUGACACCUGCCUGCCAAGAGCUCAGAGAAGUAGGAGUCCUAUCAAUUAAUCAAUUUACUAAGACUGCAUUUAAUAAGGUUCUAGCUAGGUGGAGCUGUUCUUCCAUUGAACACUUUUAAACACCUAGGUCUCAGUCACUGGCUAUAGGGCAUAAGUAAAGCUGGUAAUGGCACAUCUGUGGAUUUGACCACUUACCCUGAGUCUAGACUAAUGAUUCUCAAACAUGGGUGAUUUUGCUUCCCUCAACCCUCUCCACAAGACAUCUGGAAAUGUUGGGAGACGUUUGUGGUUUUCACAGCUGGUGGAGAGGUGCUACUUACGUCUGACUUCCAUCCUACUCUAUCCAAGGGUGCUGUGAGCCAUCCUGCAAUGCACAGGAUGCCCCCCCACCCCCUGCAAAGGAUUACCUUACUCAAAAUGUCAGUAGUGCUGAGGCUGAAAAACACUGGUCUAGACUACAGCAUGGAAGUUCUUAAAGCCAAGAGUACUCAUAAGGUCCAGGCUCAGUGAGAUAAUAAUUAGGGCCAGCAAAUGUCUGUUAAAUUGAGAAGGAAGAAAAUUAGCAAUCAGUGGGACUGUGGCCUCCAUAAAACCGAAGGGCAGGUAUAAUUGGAGUGUGUUUGACUACACUAGAAGGCUAAGAGCUAAGGUCAUAGUGCAGUUGGAGGUGAGGAUUUCAGAUGUGUAGCAAGUCUGUGUAAAGAUGAGGUCCCAGGUACACCCACAGGAACAGCUUGUAGCAAGUUUAAACACUCUGACUUGUGAUACAGCAGUCAACAGCUGAACCUAGUAGGAAAAACAUUCAAUAAACAUUAGAAUCUGGUGAAUGUGGAUAUACCAGUUUUUCUGAAUGUUUCUGUAACGCAUACCUCUACUUUUCAUACACCUAAAAAUCUCACAUUCUGUCACCUUCAGUGUUAUUUAAAAUUUCACAAUUAAGUAUCAUGACUAAAAAUCAAAGCAGUGACAAUUUUGGGAAGCAAAAUUUAUUCAGAAGAUGUGAUAACCAUGUUACUGUUAAGCUUUAACUUUUCUUUCCUGGGUGGUAUAGAAGAUGUAACAAAACACAAGCGGCUUUAACAAUAAUCUUGUAUUGUUUUCUCCCCGCAGCAAGAUAUAUACCCCCCCAUAAGAGCUUUUAAGAUGUAAAGAGAAAAUGGAAUAAACUCUUCUCAUCUGUUUAGACAUUUUACAUCCCAGUUUCUCUAUAGAGUACUUAUAUGAAAGUUUCUAGUCAAAACAAUCAGACUUUGAGUUACACAUAGUCCCCUUGAAAUUCUUUAAGUGAGAACAAAAUAUCAGUGAAAACAUUCUUUCUUAAAACACCACAAGUAGGUUUUAAGAACAGUAACCCAAAAUAGCUCUGGCUAUUUAAGUUUUUUUUUUUUUUUUUUUGUAAUAACAUUUAUGAAUCUAGUCCUUGAAAGAUUGGCCAAGCAAAUUAGACAUAUUUAGUAUGAGUUUGCUAUGUGUAGCUGGAUUUCUGGCCAAUCUUGCUUAAAGUUUUUUGUAACAAGCAGUGAUGUUGGUGACUGCUUUUUGACAUUUCAUGGUCAUGGUAUCUUAAGCUUCAAUGCAUUAAAUUCUGCUGAGUUUUAAUUUUUGAAAUUUUAAAGUAUAGAUUCUCUUUAGAUGAUGUUCCAAAAUCAGAGGGUUAUUUUGUCAUUGGCGUUCCAAAAUCAGUUCUGUCCAUAAAUUCAGCUGAAUACAGUUCUUUGACAACCAGGGAACCUCAGUUUGUAGGAGCAAAUACUCUCAAAGGCAUUCUAAACUGAUCUUCAAAAAUCAAGGCAAACUGGGAUCAAACCAGGGUUAUGCUGACAGCAAGGUGAGGAUUUCCAGUAGAUUACUGGCCUAUUGAUGGAAGUUGAUGCUUGGUGGUGAUGGCUACAAUACAGUUUUCUUCAGUUUCUUUGCCAAAAACCAAGGUCGAAAGCAUUCCACUGCUGUAGCACUACCAAUGUAUACCUUUUUCCCUCCAUCAGUUCAUUUGCUAUAGCUUCAAAAAUACUGUCUUUAGUGAACAAGUAUUAGGCUUAUGAAACCAGCACACUCACAGUUUUUAAAGCCUAUUUCAAACAUAAGCAAAGCACAUUUUUAUCAGGAUAUUCUUCUCAACUAAGCAAAGAAGGAUGAGCUAAUGUUUUUAAAAACUGAGUUUUCAUAUACUCAGUCAUUAAUUCAGAGUUAAGAUUAUAGAAGUAGAUGAACAAAGUCUGGAAUUCCUCAAUUUGCUCUCAACGUUGUGGCGGCACUUGGAAUGCAACACUUCGCAAGUUUCUCCAUUUUUUUCUCCCUUGCAGUUAGAAGGGCUAUUUAAUAUUAUGCUUUCAUAGCCUUUGAAGAUUGCUGUUAGUAUUCCAAUACUGUCCAGUCUUAAAGCUGCAGAGAAUUGUGCUUUGCAGAAUAUGCCACUGUUUUUAUGUCAUAAAUUUAACAGUGUUUGGCAUGGUGUCACUGCCCAACAUUUUCAGGUAACUCAACUGAAGAAGUUGACCCUAUCUUCUGCAUCAUAAUAUGAAUAUAUACUUGAUAAAAGCCUUAACAAUUUUUUUUGGUUGCCAUCUUUAGCUACCUCAAAGGAGAAAACAGAAAAAGGAGGAGUAUUGAUUAUGGAAGCAUCUGGUCCUUCUUGCCAAACGAUGAAUGAUUUUAUUGGUGGCAGAGAAGUACAGGCAUCCAGUUAUGCCUGUGCCCCAAGAAGUGAAAUCGUUGUUCAUUUCUUUUUUAUACACCCAUCUGCUGCCUAAAACCUGACACCAUUUAAUGGUGUCCUUGGUCAAAUAUAAAUGAUCUUACUUUCAUAAUCUUCUUUUUUUUUUUUUUAAAGAUUUUAUUUAUUUAUUCAUGAUAGUCACAGAGAGAGAGAGAGGCAGAGACAUAGGCAGAGGGAGAAGCAGGCUCCAUGCAGGGAGCCCGAUGUGGGAUUCGAUCCAGGGUCUCCAGGAUCAUGCCCUGGGCCAAAGGCAGGCACCAAACCGCUGCGCCACCCAGGGAUCCCACUUUCAUAAUCUUCUGAUUCUAGCUUGAAUUUCAGAGUCAAGAUGAACUCUCAUGGGAUGGACAAAAUGGAAGAUGUAAAUAAGUAAGUUUUUCAGAGCUAAAAAGCCUCUUUUUAUACAAAAUUAAACUUUAAAAGAAUAUUAACCUCAAAACAACAUUAAUCAUCUUGGAUAUAUUAUAAAAAUAGCAGUAUAAAUAGCACUAUACCCACAGUAAACAUCUAUGGCUACCCAGCCUGUCAUACCUCAUUAAUUAUAGGCCUCACUCUGAAUGCUUCUUGUUCUAUCUUUGUAUUCCCACCAGCCAAAGAGUUCUUAACACACUAAAUAUAAUUUUAUAAACUAUAAAUUCCCAUAUCUGCAAUGCUAAUAUAAUUUGUGGAGGGAGAAAAUGCCUUUCUCUCCUAUUUCUGAAAAUCACGGACUACUCCUUAAGAAUUUGAGUAACAACCCCCUACUCAGUCCCUAAAAUUAAAAAGCCUGCUCACCUCCAAAAUAGAUUUAAAAAUGUGUUGAAUUGGUAGCUGACAAGAAUUCUUUGUAACCAGAACCGUGUGAUGGCUAAUGCUUAACAUUAAAUAAAUCAUUAUACAAAAUUGGUUCCUUAUAAUUUUAACUAUUAUUAUGAGUUUUAUUCAGUAAAAUUCUAAGUUAUGCUACUGUAAUGUAUCUGUUGACCAAUGAACGGCAGUAACAAAACUAUGUCAUGAAUUACUAAGUUUAUACAUACGUAAAAGUUUUUACCUCUGCAGUGUAAUUCCUAUGUUUGGCAAUACCAUCUACCUAAAUUCUGGUGUAUGUUUAAAAAUAAAAGUUUUAUUUCUUUUUAAAUAUUCUA